rnacentral:rRNA from 1 species
CGCGAUUCGCCCUUCGGGGUGCAGCAGGCGCGAAAACUUUACAAUGCUGGAAACAGCGAUAAGGGGACCUCGAGUGCCAGGUUACAAAUCUGGCUGUCGUGAUGCCUAAAAAGCAUUGCAUAGCAAGGGCCGGGCAAGACCGGUGCCAGCCGCCGCGGUAACACCGGCGGCUCGAGUGGUAACCGUUAUUAUUGGGUCUAAAGGGUCUGUAGCCGGCCGGAUAAGCCUCUUGGGAAAUCUGGCAGCUUAACUGUCAGGCUUUCAGGAGAUACUGUCUGGCUCGAGGCCGGGAGAGGUGAGAGGUACUUCAGGGGUAGGGGUGAAAUCUUGUAAUCCUUGAAGGACCACCAGUGGCGAAGGCGUCUCACCAGAACGGACCUGACGGCAAGGGACGAAAGCUAGGGGCACGAACCGGAUUAGAUACCCGGGUAGUCCUAGCCGUAAACGAUACUCGCUAGGUGUCGGCCACGGUGCGACCGUUGUCGGUGCCGUAGGGAAGCCGUGAAGCGAGCCACCUGGGAAGUACGGCCGCAAGGCUGAAACUUAAAGGAAUUGGCGGGGGAGCAC